rnacentral:snRNA from 1 species
AUAGCACUAGAUUUUAACCUA